AUUGAACGCUGGCGGCAGGCCUAACACAUGCAAGUCGAGCGGGGUUUUCGGACCUAGCGGCGGACGGGUGAGUAAUGCGUAGGAAGCUACCCGGCAGAGGGGAUACCAGUUGGAAACGACUGUUAAUACCGCAUAAUGUCUACGGACCAAAGUGUGGGACCUUCGGGCCACAUGCUAUCGGAUGCGCCUACGUGGGAUUAGCUAGUUGGUGAGGUAAUGGCUCACCAAGGCGACGAUCCCUAGCUGGUUUGAGAGGAUGAUCAGCCACACUGGAACUGAGACACGGUCCAGACUCCUACGGGAGGCAGCAGUGGGGAAUAUUGGACAAUGGGCGCAAGCCUGAUCCAGCCAUGCCGCGUGUGUGAAGAAGGCCAUCGGGUUGUAAAGCACUUUCAGUAGGGAGGAAGCGUUGUGUGUUAAUAGUACGCAGCGUUGACGUUACCUACAGAAGAAGCACCGGCUAACUCUGUGCCAGCCGCCGCGGUAAAAC
rnacentral:rRNA from 1 species